rnacentral:rRNA from 1 species
CCUGGCUCAGAACGAACGCUGGCGGCAGGCUUAACACAUGCAAGUCGAGCGCCCCGCAAGGGGAGCGGCAGACGGGUGAGUAACGCGUGGGAAUCUACCCUUGACUACGGAAUAACGCAGGGAAACUUGUGCUAAUACCGUAUGUGUCCUUCGGGAGAAAGAUUUAUCGGUCAAGGAUGAGCCCGCGUUGGAUUAGCUAGUUGGUGGGGUAAAGGCCUACCAAGGCGACGAUCCAUAGCUGGUCUGAGAGGAUGAUCAGCCACAUUGGGACUGAGACACGGCCCAAACUCCUACGGGAGGCAGCAGUGGGGAAUAUUGGACAAUGGGCGCAAGCCUGAUCCAGCCAUGCCGCGUGAGUGAUGAAGGCCCUAGGGUUGUAAAGCUCU